CUCAAAGCAGAGGUUAGCAAAGUUCAUCUUCUUUCUUGGGUCAAAAACACUAGAAACUAUCAUAAGAUUAUUCAUUUGACAGCUCCUAGACUUACUAUUCUCAGUUUCAGCUCCUUUCCAAAAUGAAUUCCAAUUCCUUAAUUUCCCCAUCAUAGUCAAAGCUUUCAACCUCAAUGUUUCAUCAGGACCAGGACCUAGUGCAUAGCUUAUCUUACUGAAAUUCCUAGUGAUGAUAACAAUCUCAUUAUUGUAGAUUUUGUGCGAGGUAAUGGAUACGCCGAUUUCCAUCUGGUACUGACAUCUAAUGGAAGGCUUCCUUUGUUUGUCAUCUUUCCCGUUUCAACCCGAAAUUAAAAAAUACUUGGUGAUAGGCCGAUUUCCAAGCUAAGCUUUUCAAAAACGCUAAUAGUAACUCGCCUAAUACUAUUGACUCAUUGGUAACAUUUUUGAAAAAUUUCUUAGACACCUUACUCAAACUCAA
rnacentral:lncRNA from 1 species